rnacentral:rRNA from 2 species
CGCAAGGCUGAAACUCAAAGGAAUUGACGGGGGCCCGCACAAGCGGUGGAGCAUGUGGUUUAAUUCGAAGCAACGCGAAGAACCUUACCAGGUCUUGACAUCCUCUGACACUCCUAGAGAUAGGACUUUCCCCUUCGGGGGACAGAGUGACAGGUGGUGCAUGGUUGUCGUCAGCUCGUGUCGUGAGAUGUUGGGUUAAGUCCCGCAACGAGCGCAACCCUUGAUCUUAGUUGCCAGCAUUCAGUUGGGCACUCUAAGGUGACUGCCGGUGACAAACCGGAGGAAGGUGGGGAUGACGUCAAAUCAUCAUGCCCCUUAUGACCUGGGCUACACACGUGCUACAAUGGAUGGUACAAAGGG